AGCCAGGUUACCUUGAAGUUUUCUCUCCCUUUUAUUCUCUCUCCUUAGGCUGGGGGACCCUACCACACUGCUAAUUUAUUUUUGCUUUUGUUUCCAUU